GACGAACGCUGGCGGCGUGGAUUAGGCAUGCAAGUCGAACGGUAUCAUCCUUUCGGGGGUGAGAGAGUGGCGAACUGGUGAGUAACACGUAGGUUAUCUACCCUCAAGACGGGGACAACCCAGGGAAACUUGGGCUAAUACCGGAUGUGAGCAACUUUUAGUUGUUUGAAAGGUGGCGUAAGCUGUCGCUUGGGGAUGAGCCUGCGUCCUAUUAGUUAGUUGGUGAGGUAACGGCUCACCUAGGCAAUGAUAGGUAGGCGGCCUUAACGGGUGGUCGCCCACACUGGGAUUGAGAUACGGCCCAGACUCCUACGGGAGGCAGCAGUCGAGAAUAGUCUACAAUGGUCGGAAGACUGAUAGUGCGACGCCGCGUGAACGAUGAAUCCCUUCGGGGUGUAAAGUUCUUUUAUAUGUGAGCAGUGCUUCUUAUAUUAACAGUAUGGGGAGAGGAGAUAUUAGCAUAUGAAUAAGCAACGGCUAACUCCGUGCCAGCAGCCGCGGUAAACUCG
rnacentral:rRNA from 1 species